rnacentral:lncRNA from 1 species
GAUCCCCACCCUGGCCCUGCAGGCCUGCUGAGAAGGGGCUGGAGGUGUCAGGGGCAGGAUUCGCACAGGAAAGGAAAUGGCAACGGGAUUCUGCCCCUGCUCCCCACCAGCGCAGGAUGGAGGAGGCCUUGGUGUCCCUGCAACAGCUCUAGCAUUCCAGGCAGGGGCUUCCUUGCAGCCGGCCAGCAGGUGACCUCGCUGUGUCCUCCGGUUGGAGGGUGGCAGCCGCUACUCCACCUUCCCACCUGCCUGGCUGAGCCUUGGCCUGUGUCCCCCCGGAGCUUUCAGCUGCCCCUUCCCUGCACACGAUGGCCCGCCUGGACCAUGUUACGGUGUCACUGUGUCACCCAAAGGCAGGAAAUGAACAUGGGUGCAGGCCUGCCAGCGAAACCUCAGGCUCCCCGUUCCAGCUUCGUCAGUUUCCCCCAGAGUCCUUUUCUUUCCUGGCCAGGCCCCACCCGGGGUCCCGCGUGGCGUUUCGUCCUGUGUCUCUUUAGUUUCAUAAAGGUCCGUCAUGGUUAAAGACAUGCUUUGCUUGUCUUUAACGACCUCGACAGCUUGAAGAGGCCUGCUCAGGCUUUCUGUGAAACACCCCCUAAUAUGGGUUUGCCCGUCUUCCCGAAGUCACGCUGAGGGGACAGUGUUUGGGGAAGGACGCUCCACUCGAGGCGCCUCUCUCCUCACCACCCGCAGGGGUCCCAGAGACCCCCAC